rnacentral:rRNA from 1 species
CUACGGGGCGCUCCAGUCGAGGAAAUUUUACAAUGCUCGCAAGAGUGAUAAAAUGAGCCAAAGUGUUUCUCUUAGAGAAACUUUUAUUUGAUGUAAAAAGUCAGAUGAAUAAGGACUGGGCAAGACCGGUGCCAGCCGCCGCGGUAAUACCGGCGGUCCAAGUCGCAUCCACAUUUAUUGGGUCUAAAACAUUCGUAGCUUGUUUUGUAAGUCUCCUGUGAAAUCUGACAUCUUAAGUGUCAGGCGUGCAGGAGAUACUACAUUGCUAGAGACCGGAAGAUGCAAAGAGUAUGGUUGAGGUAGUGGUAGAAUACGUUAAUCUCAAUUAGACUAACAAUGGCGAAGGCACUUUGCAAGUACGGAUCUGACAGUGAGGAAUGGAGGCUAGGGGCGCAAAAGGGAUGAGAUACCCUCGUAGUC